rnacentral:rRNA from 1 species
AGUGAACGCUGGCGGUAGGCCUAACACAUGCAAGUCGAACGGCAGCACAGAGGAGCCUGCUCCUUGGGUGGCGAGUGGCGGACGGGUGAGGAAUACAUCGGAAUCUACUCUGUCGUGGGGGAUAACGUAGGGAAACUUACGCUAAUACCGCAUACGACCUACGGGUGAAAGCAGGGGACCUUCGGGCCUUGCGCGAUUGAAUGAGCCGAUGUCGGAUUAGCUAGUUGGCGGGGUAAAGGCCCACCAAGGCGACGAUCCGUAGCUGGUCCGAGAGGAUGAUCAGCCACACUGGAACUGAGACACGGUCCAGACUCCUACGGGAGGCAGCAGUGGGGAAUAUUGGACAAUGGGCGCAAGCCUGAUCCAGCCAUACCGCGUGGGUGAAGAAGGCCUUCGGGUUGUAAAGCCCUUUUGUUGGGAAAGAAAUCCAGCUGGCUAAUACCCGGUUGGGAUGACGGUACCCAAAGAAUAAGCACCGGCUAACUUCGUGCCAGCAGCCGCGGUAA